GACGAACGCUGGCGGCGUGCUUAACACAUGCAAGUCGAACGGAAAGGCCCCUUUGGGGGUACUCGAGUGGAAAACGGGUGUGUAACACGGGCGUAACCUGCCCUUGACUUCGGGAUAACUUCAGGAAACUGGGGAUAAUACCGGAUAGGAAUCCUUGCGGCAUGGUGGGGGUUGGAAAGCUUCGUCGGUCUGGGGUGGACUCGCGGCUUAUCAGCUUGUUGGUGGGGUAGUGGCUUACCAAGGCUUUGACGGGUAGCCGGCCUGAGAGGGCGACCGGCCACAUUGGGAACUGGGUCCGGCCCCGACUCCUUCGGGGGGCAGCAGUGGGGAAUUUUGCCCAAUGGGCGGGAGCCCGAUGCAGCAACGCCGCGUGCGGGAUGACCGCCUUCGGGUUGUAAACCGCUUUCAGCAGGGGCGAAGCUGGUGGUGACGGUACCUGCAGAAGAAGCACCGGCUAACUACGUG
rnacentral:rRNA from 1 species